UAACCGUGCGCAUGUAGCAUAAUCACUUGUUCUUUAAAUGGGUGACUCGUAUCAACGGCAUCACGAGGAUCACACUGUCUCCCCCCUCUAAUCAGUGAAACUGAUCUCCCCGUGAAUUUUUUUAUAAGACGAGAAGACCCCAUGGAGCUUUAAACCCGAUGACACCCCCGCCCCAUCUACACCCACGUAUUCGUUGGGGGCCUGUUCACUCGGUUUUAGGUUGGGGUGACCGCGGAGUAAAACAAAACCUCCACGAAGAAUGGGCUUACCCCCUUAUCCAAGAGAUACGUCUCUAAGAAUUAGUAAACUAAUAUCUAAUGAUCCGAUUUUUCGAUCAACGAACCAAGUUACCCUGGGGAUAACAGCGCAAUCCACUUCAAGAGCUCAUAUCGACAAGUGGGUUUACGACCUCGAUGUUGGAUCAGGGUAUCCCAGUGGUGCAGCAGCUACUAACGGUUCGUUUGUUCAACGAUUAAAACCCUACGUGAUCU
rnacentral:rRNA from 1 species